rnacentral:misc_RNA from 1 species
UUCGAGCGUCAUUUAAACCUUCAAGCUAUGCUUGGUGUUGGGUGCUUGUUCCGCCUCAGCGCGUGGACUCGCCUCAAAUUCAUUGGCAGCCGGUAUGUUGGCUUCGUGCGCAGCACAUUGCAAGCGAUUUCAGCAAACCUUCUUCCAUAAGCCUUUUUUACUUUGACCUCGGAUCAGGUAGGGAUACUCGCUGAACUUAA